CAACAACAGCACUGGUAGAAUGUCUGAAGGGUCCUUGGCACUGUCAGGAGUGCAGGAAAUGAAACCUGGAUCCAAUAGGAGCACUUGGAAGGGCCUUGCAUCUUCCUUGAUUCAAUCUUUGACCGUUGUCAGAAAGCCAACCGUGGCCAGCAGCCAGAGAGGUUCCGCGCAUGGUGCUGGGCCCUCUGAGGGAUUAAUUCGCGUCUCUUGGUUACUGACGAUGGCAUUCAGGUCUCUGGUGUGACUGUAUAAAUUCCCUGCAGGCCUGAAAAAAU
rnacentral:lncRNA from 1 species